GAUGAACGCUGGCGGCGUGCCUAAUACAUGCAAGUCGAGCGAAUGGAUUAAGAGCUUGCUCUUAUGAAGUUAGCGGCGGACGGGUGAGUAACACGUGGGUAACCUGCCCAUAAGACUGGGAUAACUCCGGGAAACCGGGGCUAAUACCGGAUAACAUUUUGAACCGCAUGGUUCGAAAUUGAAAGGCGGCUUCGGCUGUCACUUAUGGAUGGACCCGCGUCGCAUUAGCUAGUUGGUGAGGUAACGGCUCACCAAGGCAACGAUGCGUAGCCGACCUGGGAGGGUGAUCGGCCACACUGGGACUGGGACACGGCCCAGACUCCUACGGGAGGCAGCAGUAGGGAAUCUUCCGCAAUGGACGAAAGUCUGACGGAGCAACGCCGCGUGAGUGAUGAAGGCUUUCGGGUCGUAAAACUCUGUUGUUAGGGAAGAACAAGUGCUAGUUGAAUAAGCUGACACCUUGACGGUUCCUAACCAGAAAGCCACGGCUAACUACGUGCCAGCCGCCGCCGUAA
rnacentral:rRNA from 1 species